rnacentral:rRNA from 1 species
AUCCUUCCGUAGGGUGAACAUGCGGAAGGAUCAUUG